rnacentral:lncRNA from 1 species
CUGAAAAGUGUGUUUUCCUUCUAACACCAAGUUCUUCUCAGGACAAAGAUGUGGAAUUUCCAGGACCUCUCUUUCAGCCGAACUAAAUGGUAAACUCCAAGCCAAAGAGCUAUUCACAGUAGAGGUCUCAUAGAGUUAUUCUACAGAUAUUGGUAAUGCAGAGAGCCGGAUUGUAACAUGAAUACUAUUCCAUGGAAUUCCCAGAGUGGAGUGUACAUCAACAGUGACAGAUAUCUAGCUCCUUUCUCUGAGCUAGAACUGCACUUUAUAUCAUAACAUUCCAUUGACUUACAUGGGAGAUUUGGCACUAGAAUUGUUUUAAUUAAAACUGCAGUGCAAACUGCAGAACCAUUCUGAAAAUUCACUUUGGCUUCUAUCAAGUUCUAUUUAGGACAAAGUUAGGGACUUUCUGGGAUCCUUCUUUCAGCAGAAUUACAUGGCAAAUUCUAGGCAAAAAUUACAUUCACAGUAGUGGCCUCAUAGAGAUGUGCUAUAGAAAAUGGCAAUGCAGAGAACUAUGUUGUGCAAUGCCUACGGUUGCAUGGUAAUUACAGACUGGAGUGUACAGCCACAGUGACAGAGAUCUAGCUGUUUUGUCUGAGAAGGAACUGCACUUUAUAUCAGAACUUUCCAUUGAUUUGUACGGAACAUCUGGUGCUAGAAGUAUAUUUGAAUGAAACUUGCAUUGCAAAGUGCAGAACCAUUCUGAAAAUUGUGUUUGGCUUCUAACAUUAAGUUCUUCAUAUGAGAAAGUUGAGGACUUUCCAGGACCUUUCUUUCAACAGAACUACAUGGCAAUUUCUCUGCCAAAGUGCUAUUCACAGUACAGGCCAUAUAGAGAGGUGCUAUAGAUAUGGGCAAUGCAGAGAGCUAGAUUAUGACAUGACUAUAUUCCACGUAAUUCCCACAGUGGUUUCCUGUCACCAUGAGAGAGAUCUAGCCACGUAAUCUGAGAAGUAACUUCACUUCAUAUCAUAACCUGGUAUAGACUUGCAUGGGAGAGUUGGCACUAGAAGGUUUUUGAAGGAAAAUUGCCAUGCAAACUGCAAAACCAUUUUCAAAAGUGCGUUUGGCUUCUAAUAUCAAGUUCUGCUUAAGACAAUGUUGAGGACUUUCCACGACCUUUCUUUCAGCAGAGCUGCAUGACAAUUACUAGUCCAAAGUGCUAUUCACAGUACAGGCCUCAGAGAUGUGCUAUAGAAUUUGGCAAUGCAGAGAACCAGAUUGUGAAGUGAGUACUAGUAAAUGUAAUUCACAGAGUGGAGUGUACAGUCACAGUGACAAAGAUCUAGCUGCUUUCUCUGAGAGGUGACUACACUUCAUAUCAUAAUGUUCUUUUGCCUUGCAUGGGAAUUCUGGCACUGGAUAAUGUGUGAAUGAAAUCUGCAGUGCAAACUACAGAACCAUUCUGAAAAGUGUGUUUGGCAUCUAACAUCAAGUUCUACUUAGGACAAAGUUCAGGACAUUCCAGACAUUUCUUUCAGGAGAACUACAUGGCAAUUUCUAGGCUAAAGUGCUAUUCACAGUACAGAGCUUGUGGAUAUGUGCUACAGAAUUUGGAAAUGUGGAAAGCCAGAUUGUGAUGUGCAUACUCUUCCAUGGAACUCAAACAAUAGCAUGUACACCCACAGUGUUAGAGUUCUAGAUGCUUUCUCUGAGAAUGUACUGCACUUUAUAUCAUAACAUUGCAUUGACUUCCAUGGGAGAUCUAGUGCUAGAGGUAUGUUUGAGUAAAAACUUCAGUGCAAACUGCAGAACCAUUCUGAAAAGUGCAUUUGGACCCUAACAUCAAGUUCCACUUAGGACAAUGUUGAAGACUUUCCAAGACAUUACUUUGAGCAGAACUGUAUGACAAUUUAUAGGCCAAAGUGCUAUUCACAAUACAGGCCUCCUAGAGAUGUGUUACAAAUAUUGACAAUGCAGAGAGCCAGAUUGUGAUGUGAGUACUAGUCCAUGGAAUUCACAGAGUGGAGUGUACUGUCACAGUGCCAGAGAUCUAGCUCCUUUCUCAGAGAAGAGACUGAACUCAUGUCAUAACAGUCCAUUGAGUUACAUGGUAGAUCUGGUGCUAGAAGUAUGUUUGAGUGAAAUCUGCAGUGCAAACUUCAGAACCAUUCUGAAAAGUGAGUUUGGCUUCUAACAUCAAGUUCUAUUUAGGACAAAGUUGAGGACUUUUCAGGACCUUUCUUUAAGCAGAACUACAUGGCAAAUUCUAGGCCAAAAUGCUAUUCACAGUACAGUACUCAGAGAGAUGUGCUACAGAAAUUGGCAGUGCAGAGAGGCAGACUGUGAAGAGAAUACUAUUUCUUGUAAUUAACAGAGAGUAGUUUACUGCCAAAGUGACAGAGAUGUAGCUUCAUACUUUGAGAAGGAACUGCACUUUAUAGUAUAACCUUCCAUUGAGUUGAAUGGCAGAGCUGGCGCUAGAAGAAUGUUUGAAUGAAAACUGCAUUGCAAACUGCAGAACCAUCUUGAAAGUUGUGUUUGGCUUCUAACAUGAAGUUCUUCUUAGGAAAAGGUUGACCACUCUCUAGGCCCUUUGUUUCAGCAAACUCCAUGGCAGUUUCUAGGCCAAAGUAAUAGUCACAGUAUAGGACUCAUAUUGGUGUGUUACAGAAAUCAGCAAUGCAGAGAGCCAGACUGUGAAGUGAAUGCUAUAUUAUGUAAUUUUCAGAGUGGAGUGGACUGCAACAGUGACAGACAUCUAGCUGUUUAUCUGAGAAAGAACUGCACUUCAUAUCAUAACCUUCUAUUCACUUGAAUGGGAGAGAUGGUGCUAGAAGUAUAUUUGAAGAAAACUGCAGUGCUAACUGAAGAACCAUUCUGAAAAGUGUGUUUGCCUUCUAAUAUCAAUUCUCCUUAGGACAGAAUUGAAGCCUUUCCAGGAUCUUUCUUUCAGCAGAACUAAAUGGCAAAUUCUAGGCCAAAGAGCUAUUCACAGUAGAGGCCUCAUAGAGUUAUUCUACAGAUAUUGGCAAUGCAGAGGGAAAGACUGUGAUGUGAAUACUAUUCCAUGUAAUUCACAGACUGGAGUGCAUUGUCACAGUAACAGAAAUCUAGCUGCUUUCUCUGAAAAGUAACUACACUUCCCAUCAUAACUUUCUCUUGAAUUGCAUGGGAGAUUUGGCACUAGGAGAAUGUUUGAAUGAAACCUGCAGUGCAAACUGCAGAACCAUGCUGAAAAAUAUGUUUGGCUUCUAACAUCAAGUUCUACUUACGUGAAAGUUGAGGACUUUCCAGGCCCUUUCUUUUGGCAGACCUACAUAGCAAAUUCUAGGUCAAAGUGCUAUGCACAGUACAGGCCUCAUAGAGAUGUCUUACAGAUAUUGGCAAUGCAGAGCGCCAGAUUGAGAAGUGAAUACUAUUCCAUGGAACUCAAAGAGUGGAAUGUACAUCCACAGUAACAGAGAUAUAGCUGCUUUCUCUGAGAACAAACUGCACACUAUACCAUAAAAUUCCAUUGACUUGCAUGGGAGAUCUGGUGCUAGAAGUAUGUGUGAAUGAAAACUGCAGUGCAAACUGGAGAACCAUUCUGAAAAGUGUGUUUUCCUUCUAACACCAAGUUCUUCUCAGGACAAAGAUGUGGAAUUUCCAGGACCUCUCUUUCAGCCGAACUAAAUGGUAAACUCCAAGCCAAAGAGCUAUUCACAGUAGAGGUCUCAUAGAGUUAUUCUACAGAUAUUGGUAAUGCAGAGAGCCGGAUUGUAACAUGAAUACUAUUCCAUGGAAUUCCCAGAGUGGAGUGUACAUCAACAGUGACAGAUAUCUAGCUCCUUUCUCUGAGCUAGAACUGCACUUUAUAUCAUAACAUUCCAUUGACUUACAUGGGAGAUUUGGCACUAGAAUUGUUUUAAUUAAAACUGCAGUGCAAACUGCAGAACCAUUCUGAAAAUUCACUUUGGCUUCUAUCAAGUUCUAUUUAGGACAAAGUUAGGGACUUUCUGGGAUCCUUCUUUCAGCAGAAUUACAUGGCAAAUUCUAGGCAAAAAUUACAUUCACAGUAGUGGCCUCAUAGAGAUGUGCUAUAGAAAAUGGCAAUGCAGAGAACUAUGUUGUGCAAUGCCUACGGUUGCAUGGUAAUUACAGACUGGAGUGUACAGCCACAGUGACAGAGAUCUAGCUGUUUUGUCUGAGAAGGAACUGCACUUUAUAUCAGAACUUUCCAUUGAUUUGUACGGAACAUCUGGUGCUAGAAGUAUAUUUGAAUGAAACUUGCAUUGCAAAGUGCAGAACCAUUCUGAAAAUUGUGUUUGGCUUCUAACAUUAAGUUCUUCAUAUGAGAAAGUUGAGGACUUUCCAGGACCUUUCUUUCAACAGAACUACAUGGCAAUUUCUCUGCCAAAGUGCUAUUCACAGUACAGGCCAUAUAGAGAGGUGCUAUAGAUAUGGGCAAUGCAGAGAGCUAGAUUAUGACAUGACUAUAUUCCACGUAAUUCCCACAGUGGUUUCCUGUCACCAUGAGAGAGAUCUAGCCACGUAAUCUGAGAAGUAACUUCACUUCAUAUCAUAACCUGG